rnacentral:tmRNA from 1 species
GGGGGUGUACCGGUUUCGACUGGCGUAGAUCAGGCCAGUGGCUGCAAGCGGAGCGCCAACUCCCAAAACUAGCAAACAAAAUUAACUGCUAAAAAAGACGAAGAAUACUUCGAAACUGCAGAAUACGCUUUCGCUGCUUAAUUGUAGUUAGCGUACAGGCUUUUAGGGUGCCGCUCUUAACUCUAAGAUGCUUGUAACAAUAGGAGCUUACUUUUAUAAUUGCUGGCACAAUAAAAGGACAUUUUAGUCAGCUUGGAUAGAACGUAGUUUGUUAAUGUGCAAUGUUCUAUCGACAAUUACUCAUUAACUAAGCUUGUAGACGUCAGUGGGUGGCACGUUAGGACGGGGGUUCGAAUCCCCCCACCUCCACUA